rnacentral:rRNA from 1 species
AGAGUUUGAUCCUGGCUCAGAUUGAACGCUGGCGGCAGGCCUAACACAUGCAAGUCGAACGGUAACAGGAAGCAGCUUGCUGCUUUGCUGACGAGUGGCGGACGGGUGAGUAAUGUCUGGGAAACUGCCUGAUGGAGGGGGAUAACUACUGGAAACGGUAGCUAAUACCGCAUAACGUCGCAAGACCAAAGAGGGGGACCUUCGGGCCUCUUGCCAUCGGAUGUGCCCAGAUGGGAUUAGCUAGUAGGUGGGGUAAAGGCUCACCUAGGCGACGAUCCCUAGCUGGUCUGAGAGGAUGACCAGCCACACUGGAACUGAGACACGGUCCAGACUCCUACGGGAGGCAGCAGUGGGGAAUAUUGCACAAUGGGCGCAAGCCUGAUGCAGCCAUGCCGCGUGUAUGAAGAAGGCCUUCGGGUUGUAAAGUACUUUCAGCGGGGAGGAAGGGAGUAAAGUUAAUACCUUUGCUCAUCGACGUUACCCGCAGAAGAAGCACCGGCUAACUCCGU